CGAUAUUCUAUUUGUGCUUAUCAAUGGUUUUGUUGAGAGAAAGCAGUUUUCUGCUGACAUCUCUUCCAAGUUGGGAAGUAGUUUCUCUAUUGUUCCCUUUGUCAUUGUGGUGUCUGUUUGCACCAUUCUGACUAUGAUUGCUACCUUGCCUGUUGCACAGCUUUUCUUCUUUCACAUCCUCUUUGUUGAAAAGGGAAUCAGCACUUAUGA